CAGAAACCAAGAACAAGAAUUGCAUAAGCA
rnacentral:piRNA from 1 species